rnacentral:rRNA from 1 species
GCUGCUUCGCUGACGAGUGGCGGACGGGUGAGUAAUGUCUGGGAAACUGCCUGAUGGAGGGGGAUAACUACUGGAAACGGUAGCUAAUACCGCAUAACGUCGCGAGACCAAAGAGGGGGACCUUCGGGCCUCUUGCCAUCGGAUGUGCCCAGAUGGGAUUAGCUAGUAGGUGGGGUAACGGCUCACCUAGGCGACGAUCCCUAGCUGGUCUGAGAGGAUGACCAGCCACACUGGAACUGAGACACGGUCCAGACUCCUACGGGAGGCAGCAGUGGGGAAUAUUGCACAAUGGGCGCAAGCCUGAUGCAGCCAUGCCGCGUGUAUGAAGAAGGCCUUCGGGUUGUAAAGUACUUUCAGCGGGGAGGAAGGCGAUGAGGUUAAUAACCUCGUCGAUUGACGUUACCCGCAGAAGAAGCACCGGCUAACUCCGUGCCAGCAGCCGCGGAUAAUACGGAGGGUGCAAGCGUUAAUCGGAAUUACUGGGCGUAAAGCGCACGCACGCGGUCUGUCAAGUCGGAUGUGAAUCCCCGGGCUCAACCUGGGAACUGCAUUCGAAACUGGCACGCUAGAGUC